CGGCGGUUAAUACGAGUAUCUAGUGGGCCAUUUUUUGGUAAGCAGAACUGGCGCUGUGGGAUGAACCAAACGUCGAGGUAAGGGGCCUAAAUGAAUGCUCAUUCAGAUCCCAUCGAAAGGUGUUGGUUGCUAUAGACAGCAGGACGGUGGCCAUGGAAGUUGGAAUCCGCUAAGGAGUGUGUAACAACUCACCUGCCGAAGCAACUAGCCCUUAAAAUGGUAUGGCGCUGAAGCAUUCUCCCGAUACUCGACCGCCGGGUGCACUAGCGGCCACGUCCCAGUGGCGUGGUCUCGAAGUCCCGGUGAGUAAGAGGGUCGCAGUGGUGAGCGCUGAAGGGAUCCGGCGUGAGCCGGCCUGGAGCUUCCACUGGUGCAGAUCUUGGUGGUAGUAGCAAAUACUCGAGAGAGACUCCCUUGAAGACCGAUGUGGAGAAGGGUUCCAUGUGAACAUCAGUUGGACAUGGGUUAGUCGCUCCUAAGCCCAAGGCUAAGGCCUGAUCCUACGCCAGCGGC
rnacentral:rRNA from 1 species